rnacentral:rRNA from 1 species
CCUACGGGAGGCAGCAGUGGGGAAUAUUGGUCAAUGGGCGAAAGUCUGAACCAGCAACGUAGCGUGAAGGAUGACGGCCCUAGGGGUUGUAAACUUCUUUUAUAUGGGAGUAAGACGUUCCGCGUGUGGGAUUUUGUAUGUACCAUAUGAAUAAGGAUCGGCUAACUACGUGCCGGCAGCCGCGGUAAUACGGAGGAUCCGAGCGUUAUCCGGAUUUAUUGGGUUGAAAGGGAGCGUAGGUGGAUUGUUAAGUCAGUUGUGAAAGUUUGCGGCUCAACCGUAAAAUUGCAGUUGAAACUGGCAGUCUUGAGUACAGUAGAGGUGGGCGGAAUUCGUGGUGUAGCGGUGAAAUGCUUAGAUAUCACGAAGAACUCCGAUUGCGAAGGCAGUUCACUGGACUGCAACUGACACUGAGGCUCGAAAGUGUGGGGAUCAAACAGGAUUAGAUACCCGAGUAGUC